ACUUUAUUAGUAUUAAUAUAAUACUUUUGUCUUCCAAACAAAAAACCUUAGUUUAAAUCUAAGAUAAGGUA
rnacentral:tRNA from 1 species